ACAUUUAAAAAAUCCUUACGUUACGCCUUACGAUACGUAAGAAAACUCGAUACGUGGUAAGAAUUUGCAUAGGAAAUGUCAGAAAUCUUUACGAUUUACGUCAGUUUUACGAAGCACCUAAAUAAGCCUUACGUUAUCCAUUACGUUACGUAAGUAAACACUUCACGUCUUAGGUGGACAAACACAUUUCUUACUUCUCACUAAAUACAUAUUUUGCAUACAUUCAAGCUGAUUUACGUAUCUCAAUUUAACACCAAAAAACGCUGUGCCUCGACUAAAGUUCUGUUUCACAUUGCUGCCCAUCGAGCCUUAUGUUACGUAAAUCAUGGCAGUGCCCAGCAACCCCUUAAGUAAGUCAACCCUUAUUUCGAUCCCAGUUGGACUUAAGCAGACAAUGGCGAACCCUUCCUUCAAACAUCACCAAUCUAUUUCCAUGGCUGUCUGAUGAUGUCUGGCUGCCCAGAAGUAGCGUGGAAGGAGAGAAGGGAACUGGGGGGACGUAGUUGUUACGAAGGUGGGGUUAAGGAUAAUGUUCUUGUCAGCUAUGCGCCGUGAUUUGAUUGAAUUUUUGUGGUCUGGCGCUGACGCUGACGCUGGAGAAUCCCUGUCGAAGUCGAAGAUUUGCGUGCAAUUUCUUUUUACGUUUUAAUUAAAAAGUGUCGCUUUGUGUGAAUGUCCAUUUGACUGAUGGCUCAAACUAGACGGUGAGA